rnacentral:rRNA from 1 species
UACGAGGGGGGCAAGCGUUGUUCGGAAUUAUUGGGCGUAAAGGGCGCGUAGGCGGUGCGGUAAGACUGUGGUGAAAUCUUCGGGCUCAACUCGAAGCCUGCCGCGGUGACUGCCGUGCUCGAGUGUGGGAGAGGUGAGUGGAAUUCCCGGUGUAGCGGUGAAAUGCGUAGAUAUCAGGAGGAACACCAAUAGCGAAGGCAGCUCGCUGGGACGGUACUGACGCUAAGGCGCGAAAGCGUGGGGAGCGAACAGG